UCAAUGAGUUCUGGACAUAUGCGAGAUUUUGGCUCGCUCGCUCGCGCUCUCUCUCUCUCUCUUCCCAAACUGAAACCCUGACUCUAGAGGGAGAAUGGCUUCAAUUUCAUUAUCCUCACUGUCGGUACCAUUUUCGACCUUACCCAAUUCCUCCAUUAGUAAUUGCAGACCCGAGUUUUCUGUUCUCUCUUUGCCUUCCUCAAUUUCCUCAAAGUUACAUGCCCUGAAACCCUAUCGAGUUUCCCCUUCCAGAACUUUUGCUGUUCCUGAAGUUUUGGAAUCCAAUGCUGCUUCUGAGGUUUGUUUUGUUAUCGACUCAGUUAUAAUUAUGUUUGAUAAUUAUGCACUUUUCACAUGAUUGAAAUGAUUUUCUUUUUGGGUUUUCUGGGGUCUUAGGACGAGGCUCCUUCCUCUUCAGUGCCGAGUGUUGGUACAGAUUCUGAGAAAGUAACUUCUCUUUUCUUCUUAUUCACCUGCACGCUAUGUUCUUUGUAUUUGGUUAUUAAUAUUGCUUUUGCUAAAAUUAUAGUAGCAGGAUUAAUUAGUUGUUGAGUGACAUUGCGUAUCAAUUGCUGCUGUAAUUAUCUACUUUAUCCUAAUUACUAUGAGGUAGACCAGUAGAGAGAGAAUGGAGUUAUGAAAUGCAAUGGCUCCAAUUAAAACACUGUCACUUUUCAUUGAUGUCAAUGUAUUUGCCUUAACACGUUCAUAUCUAAUACUGAAUCAAUCAGUAUUCAGUGCGAAGAAUUGUCUGCUAUAGGAAUUUGGUUUCACAUGAGCUUUGUAUAUUACAUCCCAGGAGAACCUUCCGGGCCCCAUUUAGCAGGGCUUUUGAAAAGCCAAAAGCGAUUUUGAUACUAAGAAAUUGCUUUUGAACAUGGUUGAAUAGUUUUCUGAAAGUGUUUUGUGUGGUAGAGGGAAAACUGAUUCUACAAGAUGCAGAAGCAAAAAUAUCUUCAUGAUAUUUUAAAGUCUCGUAGGGAUUAUCAUCGUAUUUCCCUCUACUAUUAAAAGAGCGAAUGCUGCAAUCACUAUUCAUUUGUGAAGUAUUUUCUUUUCCUAUUUUGCCCUUGAAUGGACUGUUGAUUAAUGAGGCCAUGCAUGGAAAAAAAGGGCAAUAUGAAUAUUUCAUUCAUCUCUUUCACUUUGGGUUGGGUUGGGUUGUAAUGUACUGAAACCCUAGACUAUUCCCCGCCCCAAAAAAGGCCACAAAAAUUUUUCACUCAAAAUCCUCGUUCUGUGCUAUACAUUCACCUAAAACUCUUUGACUUCGAAGUUCUGCUAUGCGUAUCGCUCGCUGUUGGAUAGCUUGUAAAUUUUUGGGCUGGCAAAGAAGUGUAAUCUUGAAGAAGCCCAGAUGCUCGUGCAAAAACUACAUCAGUACCAAUUAGAAGGCUCGAAUUCCGUAUUUUUUUAGAGUUUGAUUUUGGCUAUGAUUAAUUGGUUAUCCGCGCUUCUGAGAUUUAUGAUACUUGAAGUAUGAGGUUGAAUAAUGGUUGAAUUUCUUGAUAUGAACUGAAACGUAAUUUAUGUUAUAUUUUUGUUUUAAAUUUUUAGAAUUUGAAUUUCCUCUUGAAUUUGUGUGGGCAGGGAUGACCAUUUUACAGCUUUUUAAUGCCGGUUCUGCUUCAGAAAAUUCUUGAUUGACAAAGCUGCUUAUUUCUGAGCCAUCCAUUUGUUUUCCACCACCCAUUUCCUUAAUGCCCCUGUUGUUUCCUUUCUCACACAAAAUUGCCUCCUCAACCUUUGGUGAAAAUCUAAAACAAAUAGAGGACAUCUCUACAGGAAAUUGUAGAGUCUCGACUCCAAGUAUAUUCUUCUCAUACAAGUUUUUUUUUUUUUUUUUUUUUUUUUUUUUUUUUUUUUUUUUUUUUUUUUGGUAUUUUAUUUAAUUUUUUUCGAACUCUAUUCUUCUAUGUUUGUUUCAAUUUUUGUGAAAGUUUCCCAAAAAUUCAGAAAACUUCAUGUUUAGUGCAGUUUAGGGUUAUAAGUGAUGGAAUUGAUGUCUCUAUGUUUAAGUUAGGUUAGAGUCCAUUGUUUCUUUUUUGGGGAUUAUAGUUAAUAUUUGUAGUUGUACAUCCAGAAUUUUUUGGUUCAUUGUUGUUUGGUUGAAAGUUUAUAGUGUUGGGCUUAUUUAUAUAUCUGCAUACGUCGUGUUUUAAUUUUUUUUUUUCCCCACUAUGAGUUCUCCUGUGCAUCAAGAAUUACAAACCUUAAAUCAAGAUUUUAUUGUUUACUGUUUACAAUUUUUUUGAUUCCGCGUUGUUUUGCUUAUUUUAUUUCUUCUAUUUAUAUGGAAAAAGAAGGAAAAAAUGUUCAAGGAUUUUGAUUAGUUUAUAAAUAUCUGAUUUCUUGUUUUUCGCUUCUAUGACCAUUGAUUAUUCUAUUAUUAUUUACUUUAAUGGGUGUAAGACUCAUUACAGAUUUUUUAGCAUAUUUUUUAAUUUUUUUACUAAAUUUAUGUGCAAAUAAAAUGAGAAAUUAUUUAAAUGGAAGUCUCCUAAUUUUCAUGCAAUGCCAUUUUGUUAGUGUGCAUUAGUCCUAUGCAAUUAUUCAAGUGAGUAAAUUAUUGAUGGAAGUGUGUACCUUUAACGUGCUUGAACUUCCAGUAUAUGCUGUUUAGUUUUUAUUCACUUUUUCAUUCUUCAUGGAUAAUUUAUUUAUUUAUUAUUAUUAUUUUUAUUAUUAUUAUUAUUAUUAAUUUUUUUUCCCAUUUUGCUAGACAUCUAGCCAUACUUAUGCUGAGGUGCAAAAUGUAUUCCAACUAUAGUUUUUCUUGUGAAAAGAAAUUUAAUAACACCACUUCUCCUAGGAUGUCUUAAAUAUAUAAUAUGUAGAAAUAGAAUUGUAUCUUGAUGUGAAACUUUCGAAUUAUAUUGUAAUUUAGGCAACAUUCUUUCUUUUAUACAGAUGUUUGCAUUGAAAUUUUGUGAUAGAGUUUCUUGUCAAUCCUUGACAUUUUUAAGACGUUAACAUUACCUUCAAAAUAACACAUCACGUGCAUUGCACGGCAAAAAACUAGUAUCUUUAAAAUUUGAAAUAAGGUUGGUGUACUGUCUAUUACAGAUUGAACACGUGCUUAAUGCAUUAUAUUAUUGAUCUACAAAUUGUGUAUAUUAUUUUAAUACUUUCACACACAUGUAUAUUUAAAUUAUUAGGAUGAAAUGGAAUUAGACAAGGGUGUGAGGAAGACAGAGGAGUCAUUGAAUGAUAUAGAGUGCUUGACGGCAUGUCUCGUAUAAUGUCCACAAAUUUGUGAACUAGGAUCAACUUACUAUGCGAACCAACAAUGCAUUUCUCUACCAGGGCAUGAUCGUAUACCAAUGGAGGUCGAAGAUAGGUCUCAUAAGGUCUAAAAAUAAUUGGGGUUAAAGGCUAUCAAUCUCCACACAGAUCAAUCCAAUGGAAGGAAGAUAAGGCAUACAAAUAAUUGGGUUAAAGGUGCCCCUCAUGGGGUGGUUGAGUUGAUAGAGUAGGUGAGCGCGGAAACCUUUGGUCACGAGUUCGAUUUUCCCCGCCAACACUUUCUCGAUCUAGCUUGUCGAAUCGAACUUGCCUAGUGUGGUGUACCUGGCUGUCACGAUUUACCAAUGGAGGUCGAAGAUAGGUCUCAUAAGGCCUAAAAAUAAUUAGGGUUAAAGGCUAUCAAUCUCCACAAAAAUCAAUCCAAUGGAGGUAGAAGAUAUGGCAUACAAAUAAUUGGGUUAAAGGCUAUCAAUUUCCACACAAAUCAAUUAUUAAGCCGUUUGAUUAUCUUUUCAUUGUAUUCACUUCAUUAUUAGCGCAUGUUGGCACUCAGUUUAUAUCCAUUCAUGGUUGGUCCCAUAAGUUUUAAUGUUUUGAUGUUCCUUUCAUUUUGUUCCAUGCAUACUGAUAUUCCUAUGAAUUUGGCAUGUCCAAAUAAUUGAGUGCUAUAUUUUUACAUUUUCUUGUUGGAUAUUGAAGAAUUUGCGCACUUUUGUUCGGGAAAUAUCUGUAUUUAGAUUGAAUUUUGGUCCAUCUGAUACUUAGAUCAAAGUUUUAGCUGAUGAGAUUCCAUAAUAUAGUCCUAUUGUAAAUUGCUGUAAAAAUCUUACGCAUUAAGCCCUUGUUUCGUAAAAUUUAAAACUCGUCAAAGUCAACAAUUAAUUUUAUCUACACAUUUUAUAGGACACACAACUUUUCAACAACACAUUUCAUUAACUUUUAUAAUAAUCUGCUAAAAAUUUGAUUUUAAUACCUAUCAAAUAGGGGAUAAAUAUUUAUUGUGGUAAAAUUACCAAAAUAUCUCCCCAUAGCUACAAAAAUCACAUUUCUUCAAUUUCAUUUGCCAAGUUUUGAUUAUAAAUAUGGCAUCGAAACUAUUCUUCAAGAAAACCAAUCUCAAGAAUUUUAUGCAAAUUCCUCUUGCUCUCUAGAAAUAAGAAUGACUACUUUACUUUGUCUUACUUUUCUCCUCUUUCCCUUGAGUCUGUCAAGGUAAAUAAUGUUAGCUAAAGCUGCUGAGAUUGACUUCAUCAUUUACUUGAUAUUCAAACACAAUACAAGAUUUUACACCUUGAUUAUCACACUGAAAUCCAACGUCUACAAAUAGCAAAGAAAUAAUCACACAUGGAUCACAUCUGCCCAUCAAUUUAUUUUAUAAUGAGAUGAUAACAGUAGGUCGAGUACACACAAUUUAAUCAUCGUCAAUCCAUGCAAGAUCAACGUUUGACAUCCAGUGACAUGCCUCACCUUUUCCAGGGGAGAAUUUCAAUAUCUUAGAAGCUACAUGAUUCUCAAGCCAUGUCGAGAUAUCCAUGUGACAAAUUGAGAUCACGAUUUUAACUGGGAGUCGAGUUUUGGCUUCAACCAUGUCUACAGCAUAGAGUCGAGAUGAUAGGAUUGAGUGACAGAAAUAGGCUGCAAAUGGAGGAUAAACUUCAUGACAGACAAUUAUUUUCUGCCUAUCAAAUUUCUUGAUUUUUUUUUAUCAUAAAAUCCCCUGUUUUUGUGCUUUGUGAAGCCAGUGCAAGUGACUUCUUGUUGCCUAAGGCGAAUUUUGAAAAACUAAUCAUUUCUCCAAGGGAUUUUGUGCAAUUCUUGAUUCCUCCAUUUAUAACUUCUGCAUUACAAUAAAAAAGGGUAGUUUCAAUGGAAUUUUUCAAUAGUUUAAAGGACUUGAGAAAUAUUUUUCUGAUGUUUUUUCUGUUGAUAGAAAUUUUUGAAGCUAUUUCUUGAGGGAGAAAUGCGCAAUUCGAAUAUUAAUUUCUGAAUCUAGGGCCUGAAGAAAGAAAAAUUGUCUAUCUUAGUGGGUUGAAUAGUUGAUGCAUACUUAUUGUAUACUUUGACCAGUUUGUAUACUUUGGUCAGUUCCAGGAAUUUUUCAUAUUCAAAUGAGCAAGUGAGUUUUGCUAUUGAGCAAAAACUGGAAUUUUCUGAGAAUUCAUUUUUGGACAUCAUUUUAAUGUAAUAAUUCCGAUCCUUUUUUGUUAAUGGGGAUAGCUUUUUGAAAACAGAUUUAAACAUUUGGUUUUACACAUUUUCUGACCAGAACUUGAUAUGGUCGAAAGCGAUGGAUGAUAUACGGACUUGAGUUGACACAAAAGAAGUGAAGUAAAGACAAAAGAUCAAGAGAAAGAGGAGAAAAGUAGCCUUUUUUUUAUGACGAGGGAACUAGCGGAAUUGAGUGUAAUGCUAGAAACCCAAGAAAGUGUUUCCAAUCUAUGUAAUUGUUUAAUCUGAAAAGCAUGGCGUUAAAAUGAGUAAAGGCUAAUGGAAAACUUUGAGGAAGUGGUAGACGGAGGAUUUUGAGUCUACAAAUCUCAUUGGAUCUCUAUCAAAUGCGAGGAAUUCAUAUAUUUCUUCUAUUGUCGGAAAAGUUUUGUGAACUUUUCAAGAGUAUUUGCAUUUAGGCCAUCUCCAUUGCUAAGGGCAUCCUUGAUUUCUUUGUGCAAAACGCCAAGUGAUUUGAGUACAAUUGCUGUGGUUUGGGACUUUAUGGUGUCGAGAAUGAAAAUCUGGGAAGCUGGACCGAAUCUAUCCCUUAUCCUGGUUGUUGAAUUAAUGUCUUGUCAAGGAGAUUUUCGAUUGAUGGCAACAUAUCCAAAGAGAGCUUCAACAAGAUGGCCAUUGUUGACCUCGCAAAUUGGACUUCCACGUGGUCAACCAAGAGCCACUCCACGUGUUCCUCCCUGCACACAACAACAUAUGGUCAGGAGCACACUGUCGGAACCAACGAGGGUGGUGGCAAUCAAAUACACUCCGACGGUCAAGUCAGUGGUCGAUGAUCGGAACGAUACCGAAAUCGUGCAAGAGAGUGAGGAGAAUAUGAUGCUUGAAGCUUGUGAACUAAGAUCAACUUACUAUGCGGACCAACAAUGCAUUUCUCUACCAGGGCAUGAUCGCAUACCAAUGGAGGUCGAAGAUUGGUCUCAUAAGGCCUAAAAAUAAUUGGGGUUAAAGGCUAUCUAUCUCCACACAAAUCAAUCCAAUGGAGGUAGAAGAUAAGGCAUACAAAUAAUUGGAAUAAAGGCGUCCCUCAUGGGAUGAUCGAGUUGGUGGAGUAGGUGAGCGCGGAGGCCGUUGGUCACAAGUUCGAUUCUCCCCACCAACACUUUUUUGAGUCGCACCAGACUUGUCUAGUGCAGUUUACCUGUCUGGCACGAUUUACCAAUGGAGGUUGAAGAUAGGUCUCAUAAAGCCUAAAAAUAAUUAGGGUUAAAGGCUAUCAAUCUCCACACAAAUCAAUCCAAUGGAGGUAGAAGAUAGGGCAUACAAAUAAUUGGGUUAAAGGCUAUCAAAUUUCACACAAAUCAAUUAUUAAGCCGUUUGCUUAUCCUUUUAUUGUAUUCACUUCAUUAUUAGUGCAUGUUGGCACCCAUAAAUUUUAAUGUUUUGAUGUUCCUUUCAUUUUGUCCCAUGCAUAUUGAUAUUCCUAUGAAUUUGGCAUGUCCAAAUAAUUCAGUGCUACAUUUUUACAUUUUUUUUUUUUUUGGAUAUUGAAGAAUUUGCGCACUCUUGUUCGAGAAAUCUUUGUAUUUAGAUUGAAUUUUGGUCCAUCUGAUAAUUAGAUCAAGGUUUUAGAUGAUGAGGUUCCAUAAUACAGUCCUACUGUAAAUUGCUAUAAAAAUCUUAUUCAUUAAACCCUUGUUUCGUAAAAUUUAAAACUCGUCAAAGCCAACAAUUAAUUUUAUCCACACAUUUUAUGGGACCCACCAUUUUUCAACCACACAUUUCAUUAACUCUUAUCAAAUUCUGCUAAAAAAUUGAUUUUAAUGCCCACCAAAUAGGGGCUAAAUAUUUAUUGUGGUAAAAUUACCAAAAUAUCCCCCAUAGCCACAAAAAUCACAUUUCUUCAAUUUCACUUGCCAAGUUUUGAUUUUAAAUAUGGCCUUGAAACUAUCCUUCAUGUAAAUAUCUUGAGGAUUUUAUCUGAAUUCCUCUUGCUCUCUAAAAAUAAGAAUGGCUACUUUUUUUUUGCCCUUCAUGGAGUGGUCGAGUUGGUGGAGUAAGUGAGCGCGGAAACCUUUGAUCAUGAGUUCGAUUUUCUCUACCAACACUUUCUCGGUCGAGCCUGUCACACAGGACUUGCCUAGUGCGAUUUACUUGGCUAGCGUUAGCUAUUGCGUCAGUUCAAGGGUUUAUUCAGUGCACACCCGAAAGGUAGCGGUUGCGGGUUCCUCCGUCAUAAAAAUAAAAUAAUAAUAAAAAUAAAAAAUGGCUACUUUACGUUGUCUUACUUUUCUCCUCUUUCACUUGAUCUUUUAUCUUUACUUCACUUCUUUUGCGUCGACUCAAGUCCCUACAUCAUCCAUCACUUCCGAUCAGAUCAAGUUCUGGUCAGAAAAUGUGCAAAACCAAAUGUUAGAAUCUGUUUUCAAAAAGCUAUCCCCAUUAACAAAAAAUGAUUGGGAUUAUUACACUAAAAUGAUGACCAAAAAUGAAUUCUCAGAAAAUCCCAAUUUUUGCUCAAUAGCAAAACUGUCUUGCUCAUCUGAAUAUGAAAAUUUCCUAGAACUGGCCAAAGUAUACAAAAUGGUCAAAGCAUACAAUAAGUAUGCAUCAACUAUUCAACCCACUAGCGUAGACAAUUUUUCUUUCUUCAGGCUCUAAAUCCUUAGAGAAUGAAAUAUAUUCCAUAUCCUAGAUUCAGAAAUUAAUAUUCCGAAUCGAGCAUUUCUCCCUCAAGAAAUAGCUUCAAAAAUUUCUAUCAGCAGAAGAAACAUCAGAAAAAUAUUUCCCAAAUCCUUUAAACUACCGAAAAAUUCCGUUGAAACUACCUUUUUUUAUUGUAAUGCAAAAGUUAUAAAUGGAGGAAUCAAGAAUUACACAAAAUACCUUGAAGAAAUGAUUAGUUUUUCAAAAUUCACCUUAGACAACAAGAAGUUACUUGCACUAGCUUCACAAAGCACAAAAACUGGGGAUUUUAUGAUAAAAAAGAUCAAGAAAUUUGAUAGGCAGAAAACAAUUGUUUGUCAUGAAGUUUAUCUUUCAUUUGCAGCCUAUUUCUACCACUCAAUCCCAUCAUCUCGACUCUAUGCUGUAGACUUGGUUGAAGCCAAAACUCGACUUCCAAUUAAAACCGUGAUCUCAAUUUGUCACAUGGAUACCUCGGCAUGGACUGAGAAUCAUGUAACUUCUAAGAUACUGAAAUUCUCCCCUGGAGAAGGCGAGGCAUGCCACUGGAUGUCGAACGUUGAUCUUGCAUGGAUGGCGAUGAUUAGAUUGUGUGUACUCGACCUACUGCUAUCAUCUCAUUAUAAAAUAAAUUGAUGGGCGGAGAUGAUCCAUGUGUGAUUAUUUCUUUGCUAUUUGUAUAUGUUGAAUUUCAGUGUGAUAAUCAAGGUGUAAAAUCUUGUAUUGUGUUUGAAUAUCAAGUAAAUGAUGAAGUCAAUCUCAGUAGCUUUGGCUAACAUUAUUUAUCUUGACAGACUCAAGGGAAAGAGGAGAAAAGUAAGAAAAUGUAAAGUAGUCAUUCUUAUUUCUAGAGAGCAAGAGGAAUUUGCAUAAAAUCCUCAAGAUAGGUUUCCCUGAAGAAUAGUUUCGAGGCCAUAUUUAUAAUCAAAACUUGGCAAGUGAAAUUGAAGAAAUGUGAUUUUUGUAGCUAUGGGGGGGAUAUUUUGGUAAUUUACCACAAUAAAUAUUUAGCCCCUAUUUGGUGGGCAUUAAAAUCAAUUUUUAGCAGAUUUUAAUAAAAGUUAAUAAAAUGUGUUGUUGAAAAGUUGUGGAUCCCAUAAAAUGUGGGGAUAAUGUUAAUUGUUGACUUUGACGAGUUUUAAAUUUACGAAAUAGGGGCUUAAUGCGUAAAAUUUUUACAGCAAUUUACAGUAGGACUGUAUUAUGAGACCUCAUCAUCUAAAACCUUGAUUUAAUUAUCCGAUGGACCAAAAUUCAAGCUAAAUACAGAGAUUUCUUGAACAAAGAUGCGCAAAUUCUUCAAUAUCCAACAAGAAAAUGUAGCACUUAAUUAUUUGGACAUGCCAAAUUCAUAGGAAUAUCAGUAUGCAUGGGACAAAAUGAAAGGAACAUUAAAACUUAUGGGACCAACCAUAAAUGGAUAUAAACUGAGUGCCAACAUGCGCUAAUAAUGAAGUGAAUACAAUAAAAAGAUGAGCAAAUGGCUUAAUAAUUGAUUUGUGUGGAAAUUGAUAGCAUUUAACCCAAUUAUUUGUAUGCCCUAUCUUCUACCUCCAUUGGAUUGAUUUUUGUGGAGAUUGAUAGCCUUUAACCCUAAUUAUUUUUAGACCUUAUGAGACCUAUCUUCGACCUCCAUUGGUAAAUUGUGCUAGCCAGGUAAAUCGCACUAGGCAAGUUCGGUGCGACAGGUCGAUCGAGAAAGUGUUGGUAGGGAGAAUCGAACUUGUGACCAAAGGCCUCCGCGUUCACCUACUCUAACUCAACCACCCCACGAGGGGCGCCUUUAACCUAAUUAUUUGUAUGCUCUUCACUCCAUUGGAUUGAUUUGUGUGGAGAUUGAUAGCAUUUAAUUCCAAUUAUUUUUGGGCCUUGUGAGACCUAUCUUCGACCUCCAUUGGCAUGCGAUCAUGCCCUGGUAGAGAGAUGCAUUUUUGGUCCGCAUAGUAAGUUGAUCUUAGUUCACAAAUUUGUGGACAUUAUACAAGACAUGCCGUCAAGCACUCUAUAUCAUUUAGUGACUCCUCCGUCUCCCUCACACCCUUGUCUAAUUCCAUUUCAUCCUAAUAAUUUAAAUAUACAUAUGUGUGUGUGAAAGUAUUAAAAUAAUAUACACAAUUUGUAGAUCAAUAAUAUAAUGCAUUAAGCGCGUGUUCAAUCUAUAAUAGACAGUACACCAACCUUAUUUCAACUUUUAAAGAUAAAUACGUAUUGAAAUUUUGAGGUAAUAUGGUACUAUGUACAUUUUAUAAAUAUUAUUUAGAAAAAAUGCAAAAUAAUUNNNNNNNNNNNNNNNNNNNNNNNNNNNNNNNNNNNNNNNNNNNNNNNNNNNNNNNNNNNNNNNNNNUUGAAUUAUAACAUUGUAUAUUAUUAUUAUUAGGUGGCCACGGUUGUCACAUUACGUUACUAUAAUAUUUUGCAAAAUGGACCACAAGUCCUUUUCACACUAUUGAAUUCUAUUAAAGCAUCCAAUCAGAAUUUAAACACCUUUCCUUUACUUCAUAAGCGUGGUAAGUAUGGUAAAAUUGCGUGGGUUGCAGGUGUUGACGGGGAUGAGUGAGUAAUAGUUGGUUGGAGGAGGUGAUUUACUAAUAUUAUUUUUUUAAAUUUUUUCUAGUUGUUAAUAUGUAUUUGAUUGUUUUAAUUGAGACACUUUUUAAAAAGUUAUGUGAUUUGAAUUGCAAUUUUUCUUAUUUUUUGUGUGGAAAUUGAUAACCUUUAAUCCAAUUAUUUGUAUGCCUUACCUUCUACCUCCAUUGGAUUGAUUUGUGUAGAGAUUGAUAGCCUCUAACCCCAAUUUUUUUUUAGGCUUUAUGAGACCUAUUUUCGACCUCCAUUGGUAUGCGAUCAUGCCCUGAUAGAGAAAUGCGUUGUCGGUCCGCAUAGUAAGUUGAUCUUCUAAAUUUUAACGAACAAGUUGAUCAACAAACAAUCAGUCUCCAACUAUGAAAAUCGUUUAAAUUAUAAUUAAAUCAUUAUGAAAAUUAGCCUCACUUCAAAUUUGUAGGCCCAGCCUACGUGAUGAUUUAACAAAUAUUUUGGCCUUUUUUAUUUCAUUAGUUGACACGCACGUUGCAUUUAUAAAAUUGGAACAAUGAGUGACUUAGGCUAUUAUAUAGUAGAAAUGUGCUACAUGUAUAGAAAUUUUCCUCACAAAAAUCUUACAGACAAGACAUAGCAGGGCGUGGGUGGUUUAUUUUUUGCAAUAAAAUAUUCACAUGGGUCCCACCCCAUGUAAAAUUUCUGUGAGGCUUUUGUAAGGGAGAUUUUCGUAUCUUCAGUUUUUAUUGUAUAUAGUAAAUGUGUAUGGAUAUGGUGAUAGAAGAAUUAUGAAUGAUUCACACAUAUAUCUCACGCGGAAUAAUUAUGGCAUACCUUAAAUAAGAACCUCAAGUUGGAAAUAACAGAUGGAUGAUUUUUGUACUGAAAGGAGCACGCAUAUAGAAACGGCAACAGAGAAAAGGUUUUGGGAACAUGAGAUAAAUGCUUUUCUUCCGAUAAUUCUUUUUAUCAAUCAAGGUAGAAUUACGAGGUGCAAGUGGUUGGUCCCGUUUGAUUUAUUUCUUCAUGUUAAUAAAUAUUAUGUUAAUCAAAGUUAUGGUAUGAUAUGGUAUGACCAUCCAAUACCAAAGAUAUGAUAUGUAUUGAAUUCUUAUCGAUUUCUAAAUAUAUAAUAAUGGUAUGAUAUUUUUGACACAUGAUUUAAUAUUUUUAUUUGGGACUGUACCGUUAUUCGUUUUCUACUGAGUAUUUCCGUGUACUCACAAUUUCUCCUACCCCUCAU
rnacentral:lncRNA from 1 species